AAAGGUCACGCAGUAGGCCAUUUCAUUGGUGUGAGUGUGUAUGUGCGUUUCGAUCAUUUAGUUGGCGCGAUGGGGCAAACCGUGUGAAGCGCUGUGGUGUGAUCUUGUACGGUUUAUUUAAGUGUGUGUGUGUGUGUGUCUGUAAGCUGCACAUAAAUUAUAAUUGUGAAUGCCGAGCGGUUAACAGAGCUAAACAUGAAAUAUAAGGUGACUGUAUGACGUUGUAUCAUAUCGAAGAUUAAAAUCUUUGAUGUAGCAUGAUGACCGGAACGUGUUGCCAGUUGGCCAGUUAGAUAAAUAAUCGGCGAACGAAAACAAGCCAAAAAUGCGCUGGAGCGGAUGUGUAGCGCGAAGACAGAAAUCAUCUUUAUCGGCCGUAUUAUGUGGGCAACGAACGAUCCACCGACCGUUGUUAAAUAUAUGAGCAGACGCGCCAUCUGUGUCCGGUGGCAACCUUGCGCGUGAACCGCGUCUACUAGACCAGUGUUCGCAUAGGCCACUGCAAUUCCAACAGAACAAGGCAAGGGAUUAUUUUGUGUGUUCUUCCGCUUUGGCUUGAUCUGGCCAGGACACGAUAAAAAAAGGUUGGACCUAUAUAAGGAUGAAUGAUUAGGAUGACUUUAGCUUCCCAAUAAAUUUUCUCAAUCAUAAAAGAGAAACACCUACCUGCCCGUGACGCUUACCCGAAGGGAUGCAAACAACUUGCACAAGUAAACACAGAAGAUCAAAUCAAACGAUCGGCGCUGAUCAUGUUUCUUUCUAGAAUAACACGGCGGCGCAUGUUUGCUUAAGCCGCUUGCAACUAGAGAAUGCUUAGCGGUUAGCGUUGCAGCAUUCGUACAUGAUUAGCCAAAACAUUAUAUUCUGUGCAGCUUCAUUGGGGCAGCGUUAGGGCAGCAACAUAAUGGCACACGCGUGGUUGAGCAGGGAGAGUUCGAAGUCAUUUAUGAAACAGAAAAGCGUUCGUGCAAAGGUGCGUGCGUUCGAGUGUGAACCAAUCAGCCAGUAAAGGAUGGUGAACUGUUGAUCGCCACUUCAUAAUGCGGGAUUGUGUGUGUGUAUGUGCGGGUGUGAGGGUGUAUCAGAUUCAUUUUUAACAUGAGAGAAACCAUUUAGAUGGAUUUAAGUUGAACUUUUCCGUUUGGUUG